rnacentral:rRNA from 1 species
ACUCCUGCGGGAGGCAGCAGUGGGGAAUAUUGCACAAUGGGCGCAAGCCUGAUGCAGCCAUGCCGCGUGUAUGAAGAAGGCCUUCGGGUUGUAAAGUACUUUCAGCGGGGAGGAAGGCGAUAAGGUUAAUAACCUUGUCGAUUGACGUUACCCGCAGAAGAAGCACCGGCUAACUCCGUGCCAGCAGCCGCGGUAAUACGGAGGGUGCAAGCGUUAAUCGGAAUUACUGGGCGUAAAGCGCACGCAGGCGGUCUGUCAAGUCGGAUGUGAAAUCCCCGGGCUCAACCUGGGAACUGCAUUCGAAACUGGCAGGCUAGAGUCUUGUAGAGGGGGGUAGAAUUCCAGGUGUAGCGGUGAAAUGCGUAGAGAUCUGGAGGAAUACCGGUGGCGAAGGCGGCCCCCUGGACAAAGACUGACGCUCAGGUGCGAAAGCGUGGGGAGCAAACAGGAUUAGAUACCCCUGUAGUCCC